AGUGGACGUUGGUUGUAUUGCACGUUCAUGACCACAGAGGGCGCUUUAGUCAAGGCCACUCCACCCCAUCGUUGUCGAACCGUUGGCGGUUAGCAGGCGGCUCGGAGCGGGACCCUUGAAAACAAAAACAACCCACCGUGCGCUCUUGUCAGCUCCGGGAAGUCACUUUAACGAUGUAUUAGGGUUUACAUCUAAUUUUCUUGAGUAUGACUAACGUUACAUCGGUAGCUGUUAGUAUGUUUUAAACGAUAUAACGCUAACGUUAGCUAGACUGGUGCUCGGGAUUUGUUUUUGGUUCAAUUUGCUAACGUUGAAGUAUCACAUAUCGCGAUGUCCGUGAACUCUUAACCUUAACUAACUUUCUAAUCUCACUUAAUCUCUGCUACAGUAACUGGCUCACUUGCCUUGCUAGUUAACGUUAGCUAGCAAAAAAGAGGACACAAAGGCAGGACCAAAACAAUACAAAAUGCCUCCUAAGAAGCAACAGCUGAAGACGACGACGGCAGCCAACGUCUCCAGCUCCCUGGACCUGGAGUCGGAGGACAUCAGCCUGGAGACAACCGUGCCUACCACCGAGGAUGUCUCCUCGUCCGACGAGCAGCGGGACGGCUCCCAGAAGGUGACCCGCCAGCUGAUCGAGAGGAAGGAGCUGCUGCACAACGUCCAGCUGCUGAAAAUCGAGCUUUCUCAGAAAAACCUGAUCAUAGACAACAUGAAGGCCGACCAUAUGUCCAAGAUUGAUGAGCUGGAGGAAAGGCUGAAUGAUGCUCUACAUCAGAAACAAGUUUUUGCCCUGAGACUGGACAGCCAGCUGAAACUAGCUCAAGAGGACAACAGAAAGCAGCAGGCUAUGCGUAAGCAAGAGAUGGAGGCCAUCUUGCUCAGGCAGCAGCAGCUGGAGGAGACCAACCGGCAGCUGUGUGAGAAGGCUGGAGAGCUGCGGAGGUCUCUCAGGGAUCUGGACAUCUCCCAGGACAGGUACCGGGAGCUCCGCGACCUCCCUGAUGACAAAAUCUCCAUACAGGAAUACGUAGCUAUGCGUUUCUAUGAGGUGGUGACUCCUCUGCGGACUCAGCUGGCUGAGCUCAGUGUGAAGAGAGGCAGUUUGACUGAAGACCUGGAUACACACAGAACCCAGAUGAAGUCUUUGAUGGAGAGCUACGAGGAGGAGCGGCGGCUACGUACUGAGCUGGAGUUGAGGAGCCAGAGACUGACCCUAGAACUGGCCGAUACCAAACAGCUGAUCCAAGAAGGAGACUAUCGCCGAGACAACUACCCAAACAUCAAACGUGAGCGUGACAACUUUGAAGCAGAACUCAAGGAAUUAACGAGGAGAUUUGAGACACUAGACUUGACUCACACUGCGCUGACCAGAGAAAGGAACACACUCAGCAAAGAGGUGGCGACAUUGCAGCAGUCAGUGACCCUCCUGCAGAAGGACAAGGAGUACCUACACAGGCAGAACAUGGAGCUUAGUGUCCGCUGUGCACAUGAAGAAGACCGCCUGGAGAGGCUGCAGGUACAAUUAGAAGACACUAAGAAGGCAAGAGAGGACGCCUACGAAAAAUACGUAGCAUCCAGAGACCGCUAUAAGUCAGAGUACGAGACCAAGUUGAGAGAGGAGUUGGAGAACAUCAGGCUGAAAACCAGUCAGGAGAUAGACAAUCUGCAGAGAACCUCCAGGGAGAUGUAUGAGAGGGAGAACAGGAACUUGCGUGAGGCUAGAGAUAAUGCGGUGCUGGAGAAGGACAGAGCAGUGGCUGCUGAGAGAGACACUCAGUCCAGAUAUGACCAACUGCUGGAACAGUUUCGGCAGCUCCAGCUGGGUACUGACAGCCGGGUUGCAGAACUGUCCAGCCAGGCCAAGUUGCACUCCUUCGAAGCUGAGCGCGCUCAGAUGGUCAAGGAAGAGACGGCUAAGGCCCUGGCCCAGUGCCAGUUGGAGUGUGAGAAACAGCAGAAGAAACUGGAGCUCCUGACCCAGGAGUUUUACAGGCUGCAGACGUCAUCAGAGAAGCGGUUGGCGGAGCUGCAAGCUCAGAAUGCCGAGCAGGCGUCGCGACUGGAGACGUAUGAAAAGCUUGAGCAAGAGUUGGACCAAGUCACCAUGCAGGCUGCCGAAAUUGAGAAUGAAGAGGAGGCAGAGAGAGUUCUGUUCUCAUAUGGCUACGGAGCCAAUGUUCCCACAACGGCCAAAAGAAGACUAAAACAGAGCGUGCACCUAGCCCGCAGGGUGCUACAGCUCGAGAGGCAGAACACAUCACUGAGGAGAGAGCUGGAGAGACACAAAUCACAGACAGGACAGAUAUCUGAAGAGUUGUUGGCAGCCAACCAGCUGUUACAGCAGACGCAGCAGCCCUAUAGCUUUCUGAUUGAGACAGUGAAACAAAGGGACGCACAGAUCAACACGCUGAAGGAGCGUCUCAUCUCGCUUGAGGAUGAUGUCAGUUCUCUGAGGAAAGAACGGAGUGCUCUGCAACAGGUGAAAAACAACAUGGCUGCCGAUCUUGAGAGACUCCUCAACCAUCGAGAGGAGCUAGCAGUGAUGAAGCAGGUCCUGAUCAGCAUGCGGUCCAGACAGGGAGACGCUCUAAACCUGUUGGAAACAGAUAAAUCUGGUAUCAGGACCUCUGGUGCAGAAAAACACCAGUCCAAACGCAUCAGCAGGACCACAGAAGAAGAGUCGCCAAACAAACCCAAACCCACUGUGUUUGUAAGUGUCUGACUUGGCAACACCCUUGUAUGAGUCACACCACCUGAACCUGCCUGGACAGAAGUUCAGACCAAAGGAGCAUUACAGACCAAUAAAGAAGUUUCUGAUUGGCACCAAAAGCUGAAGGAGAAACCCAAAUGAACAGUCAUUUGCGCUACUACUGGUGCUAUUAUAAUUGUCACUCAGGACUUUAACAAUCUUAUGUUUUAUCAAGGAUUUUGUACUUUAAACUUGUACAUUUCUUUUCAAAUUUUGACGACUUUUGAAAUACAAAGGCAUAAACUGG